AAGAUAUAGACGGGAGGAGAAGGAAUACAGUUCCCAAUGGUCUCUCGACCUCUUUCCAACAGCAGUAAAGAAGACAACUUAUCUUCUUUCUAACAUGAAUUGCGAUACUCCGGCAGUAAGUAUUUAGGUUAUGUUGAUAAUGCAUAGACAGGAUCAUUCAAGACAGACCACUGGUGCUCUCAUAUGUAACAGCAACUCCAUGUGGACUACACUGACUUCCAGUGGAGAUGCUGUUACUUUUGAUAGCGGCUCAAAGACUCCGGAUCAGCUGCUACUGGAAGCACAUCUAUCCAGCAUUCAGGAUCUGAAAACAGCCUGAGUUUUGGAAUGUAAGUUAUUAUUUAUUGUUGUAUAAACGAUAUUGAAUUAUCUGCACAAUCUAUGUACGAAACUUCUCAAGUGGUGGAAAUAUGUCAGCAGCCUAUUUUCAAAAUGACAAUGCAAAUACAGUGAAAUAUUCAGGCUUAUGUAUUUACUUCAGUAAGAACUGGUGUCCAGGAAAAUGACCUAUGAAUUGACAGACUGCUUUCAAAAUGUGCCUGUCAUUUCUAUAGGCCAAUAUUCUGUGCACUUUUCCUACUUUGGCUGCCAAAAUCUGCUAUUAAAAGUCUGCUUUAAAUCUUUAAUGAGCAUUUCGCAUUUUACUUUGAAAACUUCACCUCUGCUGUAGAACAUUUUAGAAGUAAGGAGAACUGAGCAUCAGAAGCUGUCAAUUGAAUUAAAUAAAUCUAAUUUUGCAAGCA